GAGAGGGGAAAGUCAGUCUCCAGGGGUGGGAGACUAGCACUGUGGACAGCACAGUGCUGGCCAGGCUUGGGGAGGCUAGAGAGCUCUAGCCCGUAGUCUGCCAGGCUGCAGGCCCUGAAGGGAAGGGCCUAGUGGGGGCAAGAGGCUGCAGGGGAAGGAGCCCAGGGAAAGAGACAGAUGAGGGGAGAGAAGGAGGACAGCAAGGCUGCCGCCAGAGGGUCCCUAGGCCGGGACCCAGAGUAGAGGGUCCCCCCUUUUCCCCCCCCUUGCAGUACAUCCAGCCAUUGGCUGUAGGGAGCGGCCGUUGUACUACGCCAGAUCCCUGACAGGAGGAAUUGGACUCAAAGGGCGGUUGGACAUGGUGGCUGGAGUGUAGGACUGCUGAUCACGACCCCCCGAAGGGGGUGCGGAAGGACUGAGGGGCACUGCCGGAGGGCAGUGGCCUCGAAGAGGAUGCCACCGAGCAGGGAGCAACGUGGGUCCAGCGACGCCAACGGAGGGUGGAAAGACGGAUGGGACACCACCAGGAGGGGGCACUCUGCCGGACAGAGCUAAUUCCCGGAGUCACCAAUGGGAAGUGCCAGGUGGCUCUGGAAACCCAGUUUGAACCAGUAUGUGCAGCCUCCUCAGGUGGUGGUACCUCUCUGGUGGUGUUUACAACACAAAACCACUGAAGUUUGAGAACUGGAGAUAUCCCUCAGAGAAGCAGUGCACAUCCUUAUUACAAAGCUGCACGGAUCCUGUUCCUGCCACGAGGUCGAGUCAGGCAGGUGUUUAAUGUUCUCAACACCCAGGACUGUGCCCCAAAGUAUAGUGAGCAAGAUGGGAAAAGUGUUGAUGGGGUAAUUCGUGCAGCAGAUUGCCAAGUGGAAGCCUUUAGUCACUUGAAUAAAUUAUGUAUAAAAUCAGCUUGGAACAUACCGCGCAAGCUAGAAAGGGAAAUUAAAACCAUUGUGCCUACUGCAGCACAUAAACAGUGAUCCCAUUGUAUCCUGGGUGUUUCUCUAUGCUGCAAAAAAUGCACAAUCCGGGCCACCUACUGCCAGUAAGUGUCUC